GAUAUUUGAAGAACUUCCCUACGGGAAAGGGUAAACCAGCGCCCAGCUGAACUUGAUCGAAACUUGUGAAACUUCUCCGAAAAAUCCUGUCGCAUGCCUGAAAUGCCUGCUGUAAUUUAACCCAGCGUUCUCAAGGUACGUACGAUGCAGAAAUGCAAAGCAGGGCCAAACAUGCUGCAUUCAAUGGGUACGAAGACGGUGUGAGGAACAACAUAACAGCUCUCUUCCUGGUGGCAGCCAUGGAGCACCUAGGGGCUUCAUUAAGUGUCAGAUAUCCCUGACGGCUUCAUACCUGACCACAUAACCAUGGGCUCUGAAGAGGGAAAAAAAAGGAACAGGC